rnacentral:rRNA from 1 species
UUGGAAGUUUUCGGAAGUUUUUGGGGGGUGGGCCUUUUAAUCCACCUUUCACCACGGGUUUUUUGGCUUUUGCCUUGGAGGAGGAACGCAGCGAAAUGCGAUAAGUAAUGUGAAUUGCAGAAUUCAGUGAAUCAUCGAAUCUUUGAACGCACCUUGCGCCCCUUGGUAUUCCGAGGGGCACACCUGUUUGAGUGUCGUGAAUUUCUCAACUCCGCCUCCUUUGCGGGAGCGCGGGGCUUGGAGUUGGAGGCUUGCGGGCGUAAGUCCGCUCCUCUCAAAUGCAUUAGUGAAGCCCAGGUGGCCUCGGCGUGAUAAUUGUCUACGUCCAAGGUUGUCUGUAGCGGUUUUCGCUUCUAACCGUCCUUCGGGACAAUUCAUCGAAACUUGACCUCAGAUCAGGUG